rnacentral:lncRNA from 1 species
GUUUGAAGUUGGCAGACCCCCACCCGCUUCCUGCCGCCCCAGCUUGCUGAACCAACUACAGACCCUUGGGGCUCAGCUGGGAGGAAUUUAUUGGUGGAGAAUUUCAAUCAUGGGUUCUUGGCUCAAACUUGUUGCUUCCCCCACCCCCAAAGUCUCCCCAGCAGUUUGAUACUCAUGGAACUGAGGCUCAAAGGAGGGACUUCUGACGAUCUCAGAAUUCCACCUGGGCAGGUCGGAGAGUUCACAGCCCCUCGUCACUCGGAGGAAGGGAAUGCAGAGGAGCAAGGAUGCAGGUUCCUGAGACCAUACAGAGAGGCCUUCCCUGGGCGGUUUCCAGACCAAGAAGCCCACGCCCUUCCCCGGGAGCCAAGCCAAGAAGGUCCUGGGACUGAGGGCCCCAUAUGCCGCUCAUUUUCCAACCCCUCUGGGCAGGGCUGCCUCCGCUCCAUGCCUCAGAGAGAUCUUUGCAAUGAUGGAUAAGCCGUGGCCCCGACGGCCCUGGCCCUGGGGAGGAAAAAAAACAUCUUUUGCAGUUUCGUGUAAAGCCUCCCACUUUUCGCUUAAUAAGUGCUGAAAGAGGCACAAACAGAGGGACCCCGAGCUUGCCAUGACUAACAAGAUGACCACAUCAGGCAGAGCCGAGCUGGGGGAGAGGACCGCGCCGGCCGGCCGCCCGGCUUCCCGGCGCGGAGGUGUCCGAUUCCCGAUUCCCUCCCGGGACGCUCCGCCAACAGUGCUUUGAAGCCAUGCCUAGGAGCCCGGAGCAGGGAGGCACGGAGCGAAGUGGGGAAAGGGCUGGUCCUCCCUCCCGCCUCCCGCAGGAUGGGCACAGAUCGCCCAAGAUAAAGGAACCGCAGCCUCCUCCAACUUGUGCUGAGUCGCUCUUUUCAAAAGCCCUUUCAGAUGGUUUCACUUCUCCGCGCGCGCUUUGUUGAAAGAUGUAAAAAUUUCAAACCACCACAGAGUAAACAUUUCAAAACUCGCUCUUUGCAAAAAUCAGUCACAUUUUCCCAAAAAAAAAAAAAAUCUUGAAUUCCAUCUCUCCACGCACCACCACUCCCCCCGUCUCCCCCGCCCCCUCAAUCCCUUUUUCUGCGCUCUUUGGAUUCGAGUGUUUUUCAUUAAUUUAGAAGCAGUCCAGGUAAAGCUGGUGUUUGCGAGCUGGUGUUUUACGGGCGGGAAGUAGCUUUGUUAUUUAGGAGAUGUUUUAGAUAAGUCAAUGUCUUGUCAAAAUCAAGCAGGUUUUCUUUAUUAGGGUGAAAUCGUAAUGAACUCAUCUGCUUCUAAUAUUUAUAAAGAGAAGAGAGGCCAUUAAUUCUACUGCUUGUGAAUAAAACCAUCUGUGAUUUCUUUCCA